rfam:Oryza glumipatula chromosome 3, whole genome shotgun sequence.
GAUUUCAACCGAAAAAGUCAUUAGCAACAAAGUUGUAUAACUCAUCAAGAUUUACAACUUUUAUUUUGGUCAUUUCUUCAUCCGACAAAGUAAUAGUAACAUUGUUAACAAAAUUUACAUAUCUCUCUUAUAGUUUAUAAAACUCUACGAGAGAUAUGUAAAUUUUGUGAACAAUGUUACUAUCACUUUGUCGGAUGAAGAAAUGACUAAAAUAAAAGUUGUAUGUCUUCAUGAGUUCUACAUCUUUUAUGUUUAUGACUUUUUCAACUGAAAUU